rnacentral:tRNA from 1 species
UUCGGGUUAUGAGCCCGACGAGCUACCGCUGCUCCACCCCGCGGUAUGGUCGGGCUCAUAACCCGAAGGUUGCAGGUUCGAAUCCUGUCCCCGCAACCA